rnacentral:lncRNA from 1 species
AUGAGCCUGGAGAAACCCGCGCUAAGCUGGGACGCAGACCUCUACGGCGAGGGUGCUGGUGGACAGCUGCUGGGACCUCAGGAUCUCAGACAAGGGCUCACCAGACUGGGACCCACACAUCUGAGGAGUGGGAGGUGCCUGCCUGAAAGAUGUGAUGAAGUGGUUCUGGCAGUGAGGAGGAUGCCUGCAAAUAGAACCAGCUGUUCCUGGAACCCACAACCGCUGCCAAACGGAGGGACCAUUAUUGGUGGGAAACUGGCAGGACAAGCAGAACGAACCGAACUACCUCCUCCCGCCCUCCCUUCUCCCCGAGCAGCCCCUGCCAGCUGCGCGAGCUAAGAGAAGCCUAGCUGGCACCGAAGUGCGGUGCGCAGCUCCCUCCAGCAUCGGAGGGAGGUGGCGGAGGGAGGAGGAACAGCGCAGUCGCCAGCAUGAACCUCCGAACCUUCGAACCUUCGCGCUGGAUGCUCAGCGGCCAAGCGCAGCUGCCCCCACGCACAGGUGUAACCCCGCACGGCGGUGAUAACGGGACGCCAGUGUCCUUUAUACAGAUGAAGACUGCUUGUCCUGUCUCCAAAACAAGAGGGGAACAAAGAACAAAACAGAAUUUUAUGAAAUCUGUAUCCCUCAAACAGUCAUGUGAGAAGGACACACGACGUAUUGGUUGCUGCCGCACAGUGUGGGUCGGGGGGAGUCUGUCCAGGAUCCAGGAAUUUUCUGGGACAUCUCUCACCUGCUGAGAAGUCAGUACAUGACUGACAGUGAAUGCAAGACUACAGCAACCAAAGCAAACCAGGGCCCCAGAGUGCUUAGGAAAGGAUGAAGGAUGCAGUUUCAUUACUUAGACACCUGCUAGCUGAGAUUCCAGGAGUGGGCAAGGCCAGAUGGAACGGCUAAUGGAAGAGAGAAGCUGAAAGUAUCAGAGAAAGAGCAGCUGUGGCAGUUACGGACGUCAUUCCUCUCUAGUGUGUUUGAUGCACCCGUGUUUGUGGGUGGACCAUAUUCUUGCUUGAUAUCUCUUCCUCUGUGUGUGUGCAUGUGUAUGGGUGCCUGUCAUCUAUCUACCUAUCUACUAUCUAUCUAUCUAUCUAUCUAUCUAUCUAUCUAUCUAUCUAUCAUCUAUAUAUUAUCUAUUUAUCUAUAUCUAUCUUCUCUCUAUCAAUCUAUCAUCUACCUAUCAUUUAUCUAUAUAUCUAUCAAUCAUAUAUCAUUAUCAUCCUCACCAUCUAUCUACCCAACCGUCAUCUAUAUACUAAUAUUUUCCUGUUUUCUUUCCUUUAUUAACUUACAUAAGAGUUGCAGAUAAUAGGUAGCUACAAUUUAGCCUUUCAGUUAUAGA